AGAGAUGACACCCACUGAGAUGAAGUGAGUAGAAGAAGGGCCUGUUCUCUGUAUCCCAUUAACAUCACUUCGUAAAAUGCUCCUACACAACAUGAGCAAACAGACAACCAUGUGUUGGCUGGCUCGGCUUUCUACAGAACACCUAUGGGAUGAAAUGGAGUUAAAAAUGCCAGGUCGUCAUUGUUCUAGUGUGGAUGAACUGAAACCUUUGGUGGCUGAAACUUAGAGGAAGUUUUCUCUACAGCUUUUACAGAAGUUUGUUGAUUCUAUGCCCAGAGAAGGAAAGGAUUGCAAAUCAAGCACUAAAACAUUUUUAAUUGCAACUUAAGUUUACACAUACUUUUUGGGGCCACUGCAUUAUACACACACACACACACAAACAUGUUUUUAUAUCAUUGUGGGGACUCUCCAUAGACUUCCAUGCAUUCUAUGGCUUUUAUAGGGAUCUAACGAUAAUAUCUAUUCCCUAACCCUAACCCUACCCCUAAACCUAUCCCUCACAGAAACCUUUUUGCAUUUUUAAAUUUUCAAAAAAACAUGUUUAGUAUGUUUAAUAAGCUGGCUGGGCCCCACAAGGAUCUCAAGUUUUACUAUCCUUGUGGGGACAUUUGGUACCCACAAUGUAGUAUAAACAUGUACACGCACACACACCUGACAUUUAAGAGCAUAAUUUCACUGAAAUACUCUCCAAUUUUAUUAAAUAUACAUAAUUUAAAUGCUAAUAGGUUAUAAAGUUGUUCUCAAUUGAAGGUGAGUCUAUAGACAUUGGUACUGUAGUUGUCCUUUCUCCGCACCUGUAUGCAGCAUAGGCCUGCAGCUCUUAUUUGGUCCGUUUUGCACCAUCAAUUUCAACCAGUCUAGCUGGCCUGGCCCACAAUGGGCUAAAUUUGGGCUCUCAUGUCUCUCUUUAUCUUCCUGCAACAAAGAUGUCGACUCCCCUGAUGUACUCAUCCAAAGAGCAUGCAGCACAAGUGGGUCGAGGUGCUGGCUAAUUCACUCACCAAGCCUGCUCAAGAAAAAGUGUGUUGUUUCUUUGGGUUAUUAAAGGUUGAACACUGCCUUUCAGUUGAUAAUUGGUUACGGUCUGCAACCACAUCUGCCAAAAACUAAUCAACACUUUCACAAGACAGCUCUGGCAGAACAAGAGCCCAGCAAAUAUUAUUAAUACUUGUUUAUUACUUGGGUUAAUGUUUCUUUUUUUUUUUUUUAUGAAAUAAACGUUAUUUGUUUUUGAAAAUGUUUAUUAUUAAGGUCAAGUUAAGUGUAGCAUUGUUUAAUUUGGAUUAUUUUGUCCGGACAAAGAGAGUGAGUGACCCCAAUGCUUGUCAAAUUCUAAUAAACACAAUUUUAACCAGCAGCUGCAAAAUACCAGGCACUUAAUGCCCAGACACUAAAAGUUGGGCUUUUAAAAAAGUCAAGCUGAAGACAUUCAUGAUAUUACUGUUUCACCAUAAAAAAAAGUUAAAAAAAUUGCCCCUUUCUUUUGCCCCUCUUUUUUUUAGAACUGUGGGUCUACUGCAAGUAUAAGUGAUUCUGUGGCAAAUGUGGAAGAACAUGAUAUUGACAAGGAUGCUCUAUUUCUACUUGGUUGAAGAAUGGUAGAAAUGGUGAACGUACUAAACCCUGUAAUUUUCAAUAUCUCCUACCAAGCUAAACCUUUCUGGCAUUUAUUCAAACAGUGGAAAGGAACAUUGUUUGACAUUUAACAUAUAAUUUAAUCCAAUGGAAUAAACAUAGGCCUACUCGUUAACAAUAAAUUAACAACAAGCAUGGGUGCCUGCUGGAUUUAAUCUGAGGGUGUGCUCAGAAAUCUGCCUAGAGGUAUGCACAGGCCUUAAAAUGAAACCCAAACCCGAGACCGUGUGGCCCGUAUCGGUACCCGGCCUGAACGAUACCGUCAGAUUUUAAGCCCGAACACAAAAUUGCUUACUAUCUCAUUUCUUCUCCAAUUAUCUUCUCCUAGUAUCUUCUCCUAGUAUAGCUGUAUUUUACGGGGUCCGGGGGCAUGCUCCCCUGUGAGAUUUUUUUGUUGCAAAAAACAACACCAAAGCAUUUAAUUCUGGUGACUUUGAGAUAAGCAUUUAUUUAUUUUCUAGUGUAUGAGCAGCAUUCAUGUAACUAUUGGCUAAAGCAUUUCUUCCAGUAACCGUUCAGACAGAGCUAAAUGCACCACAACGAAUAGAGCAGAACGCAAGUGUCUCGAGACGCGUUUUUAUUAGUUGAAGAAGUACUUUUUAACUUGACGCAGCGUCUAAAAACGCAGCGCUCCUGUGAGAGAUGCAAAAACACAUGACAAACGUGAUGCAGUUGUCAAAAGACAUCCAUGUAGCGAAUGUUUACAUGGAAAACAAUUGAAAAACUGCAAGAGCAGACGCAAAAAUACGUUCAGUUUGAGCACCCCCCUUAUUCAUAUGUCACAGCACUAGCUGAAGUUUCUCAAAGUUACCUCUCAAAAAGUACAUUUCCACUGUAUCCAGCACUGUAUUCGUAAAUAUCCCGAUACUGUUUUACUGUGUGAGAAACCGCUCCAAAUGAGUCAGUGUGAGAGCGCUCUGAACGAAUUGUACUGAAUCACGAAUCGAUUCAGACCAUUUUGCAAGCCUGUUUGGCCAAUUCACUGAAAAGAACCGACUCAGAGGAAUUAUUCAUUUGCAAAUUGGGCAUUGCUAGUUCUUUUAAACAGCCAACAGAAAUACGGGACACAUUUCAUGAUUGGUGAAAUAUUCUGAGAGUAAAUAUUUCUCAGGUCAGUCGGAGCGCACAGUGCGUACGGCCGUACAGCUGCAGGUGCCACUGACGACAAGUUAAGUAGUGAUCAAGAACUUAAUUUAAAGCUAUGUAUCAAAUAAAAUGAAAACAUGAAAAAACAAGGCUAAAGUAGAUGAGGAUGAAGUAGACCAAAGAGAAACAAAGUAGGUGGUUCUCAAUUAUUUUUGAAACUACAGAACUUUGAAAAAAAAAAAAAAAAAAGGCUUUGAAAGCAUUAAAUGUAUUUCCUUUCAGCUUCAUGUCAUGAAAAAAGUGUUAUUUAAAAAGUAAAAUUAAAACUGAAUGCUCAUUGUUUCUUCUGUGUAUUCUCUCCAUGACAAAUCAGAAUUUGCAAAAUAGAAUGUGAUUUGAAAACGGGGCAGUAUUUCGCAUGGCCCUUACAAUACCCCAAAUGAAGUAGACCUAAAUAAAUAAAUAAAUAAAUAAUUUCACCCAGGGGCAAAAUAAUUAUUAUUAUAAACCCCCUUCCUCCCCCCUCAAACUAUGACCUCGCCUUCAAGAGAAAAACCAAAACAGACAAUUUCCCAAAGACAGCACAUCAUACUUUGUCUGCCACAGACAAAGGGUAAAGCAUCCGUCUCUCAAGAUUUGCUUCUGAAAUUCUAAAACACUUAAAUAUCCAUAGAAUUGCCUUGGCAAAUCCAGGAAAUAAAACAUUAAAUACAUAUUAAAUUUAGUGUAUAUGGAACACUGGAAAAACAACUGAAAUUAUGCACCCAUGUGGCUCCCAUAAUAAGGUUAAAUAUGACUCAAUUUUUAAUAUAAAUAGAAAUCUACAUUUACAUUUAAAGCAAACACUCUUAUUCAAUGCAUUUUAGCUUCUCACAUGAGAAUUGUGGUCAACAGAUGACCAAGAAACUUGAUUUACAAAUAUAAACUUAUUCACAGAUCUUUUGUGAUUUAUCACAACAUUUUCACAGGAAACUUAAAUCAGGUAGGAUUUUAGGGAAUAACUGAAUUUUCUUGCAAAUUCUUCAUUUCUUUUUCAUCCUUAGAUUUUUUUGAUUUGAUAUUUUAUUAACCAAUAUAAUUUUCCAAAUUAUGUAGAUAUCAAAAGUGCAAGUUAACAUAAUUGUGUUUAUGAUUUUUUUUUUUUUUUUUUUUUAAAGAGCUCUUGGAUCUCUCUGACAAACUCACACAGGCAUUUAAACUUGGCCACUCCUGUCUGGGAUCUGAAAACACAUUUGGCCGUGUCCAAGUUAGUCUGGAUUGGCAAUGGACAGACUUGGGACACAGAAUUUACCACACAGAUCUUUCGUUUCUGCUGGCAGAUCUUUCACUGUUCACAAAGUUCUGGCUGUGCUGCAACAGACCACCAGGCAUGUUUGCGAAUCCUUUUAGUCUUGAGGUGUAUGAUUUAUCCUGGCAUUCCCACUCCUUUCUCCAUCGAGCAGAAGUUUAGUACAGACUGCGUAUCUUAGUUUUGCUUGCCUAGCAUUAAUAAUGCUUCUAGGAGUAUGCAUGUAUAUACCCACACACAUACAGUGUAUAAAUAUAUGUUGCCAACAAUUUGACAAUUACACCCCAAUGAAAAUACUG